rnacentral:lncRNA from 1 species
UCAGGAGCUGCUGGAAGAGGACGACGCGGCGGGAGGAGUGUGUCUCCAUGUGGACAAGGAUAAGGUGUCGGUGGAGUUCUGCUCGGCGUGCGCUCGGAAGGCGUCGUCUUCUCUUAAAAUGUAGGGUCAAGUAAUCUGCUCUUUAUCCGCGUUUACCCCUUUCUACACCCUUACACCAUGUAAAACACCUUAGUGGGACAUCUUCACCGGACGCAUUUGAGAGGCGGAAAAAAAGUAAUAUUAAGUCUUUUAAGUGUUUAGCUAAAAGCAUGAAUGUGACACUGUAACCAACUCCUAAUGAUAACCUGUGACUAUUAAAUCUCUCUGACAGUUUCUUUUUUAGGUGAUUUCCUUCCUGCCAGGCUCCGUUGUAGGGGUUACAGAACAGUCGUUCCCGCCUCACAACCUGGUAAGGAUCCAUCUCUUCACGUAACGCUCAUGCUCUGCUGCUUAGCCUAAUUUAAUGGGCAAACAUCUCAAUGUGUGUGUGUGAUACCUUUUUUGUUUGUUUCUUUUUUCUUUUUAAAGGUGGGAGGGCAGUCUUAAUUUGGGCCUUGUCCACCCUGGAAACAGACUUGUGCUGGUCAUUAAUGUACUUAAGUUGCUAAUGGUUGAAAUAGCUGUUAAAUGUGUCCCCUUGUUCAGAGUUUUGCGUGUACCUAGCUCUUCUGUCCCCAGUGUGGACAUGGCCUUGGAUGACAUCGGUUCCAACUGUACACUGAAACCUGCUAAUAGAGAUACAGUUUGGAGACAGUGAAACAGGUGAAGUUGAAUGGAAGUUCCGAGUUGUACAAGGUGCAAAUUGGAAUUCCAAUUGUAGAGCAACUUUUCAAAGGUUGACAAUAAGUAUUGAGGCAUGCGCAAAUGUGGUAUUUUUCUGGAGAUGACAAAUCUCCUAAAAUACUUAAGAAUGCCUUCUAGUUUUCAGUAGAAAAUGCAGAAAUACAAUCUAUUUAAAGAUCCUAAUAUUUCACCACUUGAGAAGAUGGAAAUUAAUUUACCCAUCAGAUUUGUGUUUUAAUUAGAAGACGAUAAAUGAAAUGUUUCUUUGAGGACCAGCACAGUAUACCUAUCAAUGAGUAUGAAGAAAUUGUUGAAAGUAUUUAUUUUUGUUGUAUUAAAAUUUAGGCUAAAUUUCUGUACGAUUAUUAGAUAUUGAAGGUUGUGAAAUGUGAAUGAAA